GCAGACUCACUCUGCACCCAACUGCAGCCUCAGGCAUGUGCUUUUUUCAUCUGCCAGAGAAACACUUUGGGAUGCUGUGGCCACCUUGGCCUGUCAAGGACGAUACAGCUGUCUGGGGACACAGGU